rnacentral:rRNA from 1 species
UACGGAGGGUGCAAGCGUUAUCCGGAUUCACUGGGUUUAAAGGGUGCGUAGGUGGGCAGGUAAGUCAGUGGUGAAAUCUCUGGGCUUAACUCAGAAACUGCCAUUGAUACUAUCUGUCUUGAAUACUGUGGAGGUCAGCGGAAUAUGUCAUGUAGCGGUGAAAUGCUUAGAUAUGACAUAGAACACCAAUUGCGAAGGCAGCUGGCUACACAAAUAUUGACACUGAGGCACGAAAGCGUGGGGAUCAAACAGG